rnacentral:rRNA from 1 species
AAUGCCGCGUGUGUGAAGAAGGCCUUCGGGUUGCAAAGCACUUUCAAUAGGGAGGAAAGCUGUGCGUUAAUAGCGUAUAGCCGUGACGUUACCUAUAGAAGAAGCACCGGCUAACUCCGUGCCAGCCACGGCGGUGACUGAGCGGGCUGGCAAGGCGCAUA